ACUCCUACGGGAGGCAGCAGUGGGGAAUAUUGCACAAUGGGGGAACCGUAGCAUGCAGCCAUGCCGCGUGUGUGAAGAAGGCCUUCGGGUUGUAAAAGCACUUUCAGUAGGGAGGAAGGUAGUGUAGUUAACACCUGCAUUAUUUGACGUUACCUACAGAAGAAGCACCGGCUAACUCCGUGCCAGCAGCCGCGGUAAUACGGAGGGUGCGAGCGUUAAUCGGAAUUACUGGGCGUAAAGCGCAUGCAGGCGGCCUGUUAAGUCAGAUGUGAAAGCCCGGGGCUUAACCUCGGAAUUGCAUUUGAAAC
rnacentral:rRNA from 1 species